CCCGUUAGGCGGGCUCUUCCUCCUCUCUGCAUCCCCGUUAGCUGGAGCCUUGGGAGGGGAGACCAGUGUCUCCCUGACCUGGCCUUGCUCCUCCUCAGUAAUUGUGCUCUGUCACCUCCCCUUCAUGAAUCUCUGCAGCUCACGCCACAGUGGCCUUGGCCUGGCCCCUCCACGUCACUGGGCAGCCGGGCUUCCGGGGCUGGGGGAGGGCUGGCACUAGUUGCCCUGUUCACCAGGCGGGUGGCAGGGUGGCGUGCUCUGCAGCCGGCUGGGUCAGGGAGGAGCCGGAGCCUCCCCCAGUGAAGUGGGCCGGGAGGGCGCCCUUGAGCUGCUGCUGGCCUCCGCAGCCCUCCCCCUGGGUGGGGGCUGACACCCAGCCCCAGCCGGCCGUUUCCCUGCCGGGAGCAUCCUCCUGGCCUGGCAGCUGUCCCUCCCCGCACAGAGGAACUGGCAGCCACAGUUGCUGAUCCUAGUUGGGUGCCCUCGCUGACUCCCAGGGUCCUUGGCUGUGAGAUGGUGCCAGAAUGGGCCCCUCUGCGCCUGCUGGGCACAUGGGGUGACGUUUCCUGGAAAUGCCUUGGCUGUAGCCUGGCACAGGCAAAGAAGAACCUGUGGCUUCUGUGUGAUGUUCCCCUGCCUGCCCGUACCUCGUGGCCCUCCACACAGUCCCGCGGAGUUCCGAGUGGUCCAAAACAGACACACGGAUCCUUCCUCUUGUCUAAAUG
rnacentral:lncRNA from 1 species